rfam:Schistosoma curassoni strain Dakar, Senegal genome assembly, scaffold: SCTD_scaffold0006078
AUCCAGCUGACGAGUCCCAAAUAAGAUGAAACGUGCGUUCUAUAA